UGUAGCGUGGUGUGGGUAGCAUAUUAUGUUUUGGUCGUAAAGGAGGUUAGAUAUUCGCUAUAA
rnacentral:tRNA from 1 species